UACGGAGGGUGCAAGCGUUAUCCGGAUUCACUGGGUUUAAAGGGUGCGUAGGUGGGCAGUUAAGUCAGUGGUGAAAUCUCCGGGCUCAACCCGGAACUGCCGUUGAUACUAUCUGUCUUGAAUGUCGUGGAGGUAAGCGGAAUAUGUCAUGUAGCGGUGAAAUGCUUAGAUAUGACAUAGAACACCAAUUGCGAAGGCAGCUUACUACCCGAAUAUUGACACUGAGGCACGAAAGCGUGGGGAUCAAACAGG
rnacentral:rRNA from 1 species